GAUGAACGCUGGCGGCGUGCCUAAUACAUGCAAGUCGAGCGAACAGACGAGGAGCUUGCUCCUCUGACGUUAGCGGCGGACGGGUGAGUAACACGUGGAUAACCUACCUAUAAGACUGGGAUAACUUCGGGAAACCGGAGCUAAUACCGGAUAAUAUAUUGAACCGCAUGGUUCAAUAGUGAAAGACGGUUUUGCUGUCACUUAUAGAUGGAUCCGCGCCGCAUUAGCUAGUUGGUAAGGUAACGGCUUACCAAGGCAACGAUGCGUAGCCGACCUGAGAGGGUGAUCGGCCACACUGGAACUGAGACACGGUCCAGACUCCUACGGGAGGCAGCAGUAGGGAAUCUUCCGCAAUGGGCGAAAGCUUGACGGAGCAACGCCGCGUGAGUGAUGAAGGUCUUCGGAUCUUAAAACUCUGUUAUUAGGGAAGAACAAAUGUGUAAGUAACUAUGCACGUCUUGACGGUACCUAAUCAGAAAGCCACGGCUAACUACGUG
rnacentral:rRNA from 1 species